rnacentral:lncRNA from 10 species
UUCUCUAUGGCAUUCAAAUCCAAAUUUAAAUAAAAUCUGCAUUAGUUAUCUAUUGCUACAUAGCAAAUGACCCCAGAAUUUAGUAAUGUAAACAUCAAGCAUGUAUCUCAUAGUUUCUGUGGCUUACAAGCCUGGGUGCAGAUUAGCUGGGUACCCCUAGGUCAGAGUUCCUCACAAAGCUGCAACUGAGGAGAGGAAGUUAAUAAGCCCACUCAUAUAACUGUUGGCACACUUUAGUUCCUAGUGAGUUGUUGAAUAAAGGACCUUAGUUCCUUACUGGUUGUUGGCUCCAGGCUUCCCUCAGCUUCUUGCCACAUAGGACUCUCCAGAGAGAAUCUCACAACUUGUCAGGUAGUUUCAUUCAGAACAAGCUAGUGAGUGAGUGAAAAUGAGUGAGCAAAAUGGAGCCUACAGAUGUGUGCAAUGGUGCAUACCUAUAGUCCCAACUACUCUGGAGGCUAAGGCAGUAGGAUAACUUGAGUCCAGGAGUUCUGGGCUGUAGUGCACUAUGCUGAUCAGUGUUUGCACAAAGUUCAGCAUCAAUAUGGUGACUUCUCGGGAGCUGGGAUCACCAGGUUGCCUGAGAAGGGGUUAACCACCCCAGGUAGGAAACAGAGCAGGUCAAAACUCCAGUAUUGAUCAGUAGUGGGAUGGUGCCUACGAAUAGCCGCUGCACUCCAGCCUGGGCAACCUAGAGAGAACCUCAUCUCUGAAAAAGAAAAAGAAAAAGAAAUUGAACCCACAGUCUUUCUGUAACCUACUCCAGAAAAUGGAAUUCCAUCAUUAUAGCCAUAUCCCAUUCCUAGGAAGGGAAUCUUUGGGUUCUGUCCACACUCGAUUGGAGGGGAAUACAUAAAGGCAUAAAUAUUAGGAGACAGAGGUCAUUCAGGGUCAUCUUAGACUCUCCCUACACCAAACAACAUUUCAGAGUUUUAAAUUAAGUCAUUAUGCUGUAUACUUUUUAUCCUCUAGAAUGUAAGGGCCACUGAUACAGAAUAUAAUGUUUGUUUAAAACUGUAUCUCCAGCUUUCUGACUAUUGCAGGACCAUAUUAGGCACUUGUGUUAGGCUAAAUAAUGCCUGCCCCCAAAGAUGUUUGCAUUCGAAUCCCCUUAACUGGUGACUACAUUACCUUACAUAGUAAAAAGGGAUUUUUCAAACAUGAUUGUGUUAUGGAUUUUGAUAUAGAAUUUAUGGUGGAUUAUCUUGGUGGGCCAGUGUAAUAACAAAGGCCCUUGAAAGAGGGAGGCAGGAAGAUCAGAGUGAACAGGAGAUGUAAUGAUGAAGCAAGAGGUUGUAGUAAUGGCAAAGAAGAGGCCAAGGAAUACAGGCUGUCUCUAGAAAUUGAAAAGGGCAAGGAUACAAAUUAUCCCCUAAAUUUUUCAGAAGAAAAGCUCUAAACUGCUAAUCCAUCCUGGACUUCUUACCUCCAGAAUUAUAAGAGAAUAAAUUCAUGUUGUCUUAUGCUACUAAAUUGUGGUUAUUUGUUUCAGCAACAGAAAACUAAUAAAGCACUCAAGAAAUACUUGUUGAAUGAAUAAAAAGUUC